AUGGAGGCGCCAAUCGUGCGGCCGGUGUGGGCGAGGGAGCUGCUCGACGCGCGCGACCCACCGUGCACCAACUACCAGCACCCCGAGUACGAGCUCGCGGCCGACGCGGCCAACGACAUACUCCGUCCGGGCGCCGAGCUCGUGCACCGGGCGUUCCUCUUCGGCCCCGAGGAGCUGUCCUCGCUGAGGGACCAGCUACCGCCGCGGAUGAGGUCGCGGUGCUCCCGGUUCCUGCUCCUGUCGGCGUUCGCGUGGCGCUGCCGGACCGCGGCGCUCGCCUACGAGCCCGGCGACGAGGUGCGGUUCAUGUUCGUGGUGAACGCCCGCGGGAAGCGCGGCCGCCCGCUCCCCGAGGGGUUCUACGGGAACGCGCUCACCUUCGGCGUGGCGCGGACGACGGCCGGCGAGCUCUGCUCGGGAUCUCUGGGCCACGCCGUGGAGCUGAUCGUGGCCGCAAAGGCGCGGGUCGCGCCCGACGACUACGCGCAGUCGGUGGCCGACGCGCUGGUGCUGCGCGGGCGGCCGCGGUUCACGACGGCGCGGACGUAUCUCGUGUCGGAUCUCACCAAGUCGAACCUGCACGAGGUGGACGUCGGGUGGGGCCUUCCGGUGUACGGCGGCCGGCCACGACGACGUUGGCCACGUUCCACAUUCCUGCGGCGGGCGGGGGGAUCACCGUGCCGAUGUGCCUGCCGCCGCGCGCCAUGGAAAGGUUCGCGGCCAAUGUGCGCGCGGGGCUCUUGGAGGCGUUCUAGUGGCGUGGAGUCGACCGUGCUUUCGAAGAUGUACGUAGGAAUGUAA
rnacentral:rRNA from 1 species